CGAUGAAGCCCUUCGGGGUGGAUUAGUGGCGAACGGGUGAGUAACACGUGGGCAAUCUGCCCUUCACUCUGGGACAAGCCCUGGAAACGGGGUCUAAUACCGGAUACCACUCCUGCCUGCAUGGGCGGGGGUUGAAAGCUCCGGCGGUGAAGGAUGAGCCCGCGGCCUAUCAGCUUGUUGGUGGGGUAAUGGCCCACCAAGGCGACGACGGGUAGCCGGCCUGAGAGGGCGACCGGCCACACUGGGACUGAGACACGGCCCAGACUCCUACGGGAGGCAGCAGUGGGGAAUAUUGCACAAUGGGCGAAAGCCUGAUGCAGCGACGCCGCGUGAGGGAUGACGGCCUUCGGGUUGUAAACCUCUUUCAGCAGGGAAGAAGCGAAAGUGACGGUACCUGCAGAAGAAGCGCCGGCUAACUACGUGCCAGCAGCCGCGGUAAUACGUAGGGCGCAAGCGUUGUCCGGAAUUAUUGGGCGUAAAGAGCUCGUAGGCGGCUUGUCACGUCGGAUGUGAAAGCCCGAGGCUUAACCUCGGGUCUGCAUUCGAUACGGGCUAGCUAGAGUGUGGUAGGGGAGAUCGGAAUUCCUGGUGUAGCGGUGAAAUGCGCAGAUAUCAGGAGGAACACCGGUGGCGAAGGCGGAUCUCUGGGCCAUUACUGACGCUGAGGAGCGAAAGCGUGGGGAGCGAACAGGAUUAGAUACCCUGGUAGUCCACGCCGUAAACGUUGGGAACUAGGUGUUGGCGACAUUCCACGUCGUCGGUGCCGCAGCUAACGCAUUAAGUUCCCCGCCUGGGGAGUACGGCCGCAAGGCUAAAACUCAANUGA
rnacentral:rRNA from 1 species